UACAGAGGAGCCAAGCGUUGUCCGGAUUGACUGGGCGUAAAGCGCACGCAGGCGGCACCGCGCGUGGGGUGUGAAAUCUGGCCGCUUAACGGCCAGGCGCCAUCCCAUACGGCGGAGCUGGAGUGAUGCAGAGGUCGGUGGAAUUGCCGGUGUAGUGGUGAAAUGCGUAGAUAUCGGGAGGAACACCAGUGGCGAAGGCGACUUCCUGGCCUGUUCUUGACGCUGAGGCGCGAAAGCCAGGGUAGCAAACGGG
rnacentral:rRNA from 1 species